rnacentral:lncRNA from 1 species
AAGAUUGAAUUAAAUUGGGAUUUUACUAGCAUAUUGAGUAAACACUUCAUCUUUGAUAUGCUAACACUACCUGGGCACCCUGAGAGAUGUUUUUUUUCCUUCUAAUUUAUAAAUUAGAAUUCUGCUGUAGGUGUGACCAAAUACAGAGUUUUAAUUUUGUGUAGUCCCAUUCAGGUCAUUCAAAGCAUUCUGCCUACUAUAAGAAUCUUUUUUACAUAUUUCAGCAAGUCAGAGGAAAGACUGGAUCCAAAAUACAGAAAGUUAGAUGAUCAUUUUUCAUUAUUAUGAUACAAAAUUCAUGAUUCAUUCACUAUUUCUCACAUUAUAGCUAAGUAUAAUUGAAGAUAACUGUUUCCUAUAGCUAACAUAUAAUUAGCUGCUGUGUAAAGUUAGAAGUGUACAACAUUGUGAAGGAAUAAUCUUGUUGGCAUUGGGAAUGAUUUCACAGAAGAGUUGGCUAUAGGCAGGUCCUUAACAUUAGAAUAGGAUUUUGAUAGGAGGUGGGAAAGUCAGAAGUGUUUUUCCCAGGAGGAUUGAAUUAAUUAAGUCAAAAAAUAUUUAGAACAAACUAAAUAAAUAGAGUUAUUCUGCACUGCUAUGUGCUAAGCACUACUCAAAGUAUUUAAAAUGUAUUAUUUUAAUUCAUCUAUUUAAAAAAACUGUGAGUUAGGUACCAUUAAUAUUUUCAUUUUGUAGUUGAUGCCUUGAGGCACAGAGAGAUCAUUCAGCUAUUAAGCAGUGGAAUCAGGAUUCAGUCCAAGACAGAAAAGACUCCAGAGCCCACACUACUAAAAACAAGAACCCUGGAGCCAAUAGCCUGGCUUCAAAUUCUGACUUCAUCAACAGUAGUUUGAUUAGUAGUUGGAUUGACUCAGGGACACAGAAAGAAGGGGCUGUCUAUGAACCAGGAAACAAGUCCUCACCAGACAUAAAAUCUGUCAAUGCCUUGAUCCUGGCCUUCCCAGCCUCCAGAACUCUCUUCAACUCUCGCUGCUGAUUCUUAG